GCAGAAACAACAGGCCCCAUAGUCCCGACCAGGCCUCAGCUCCCUCACAGUGAGCGAGACCUGCUGCGGGAGUCUGCUGUCUCCAAACCUCGACGGAAGAGAAGAGAGGAAGAGGCUUCUCUCCCGUCUUACUUAUACUCUGGCUUACGUAAAAAAAUCGUAGGGAAUACUGGGAACAUGGCCACUUCCUAGUUCUGACCUGGUUACCAGGAAGGCCUAAAAAAACCAAACCACUACACCUUGUCAUAACAGCAAAUCAGCAAUCCCUGCAAUGGACUUUCAGGAAGACAAAGAUACUGAGUGAUUCUUCUCUCUCAUCAUUAUGUGUUAACAGGAAAGAAAUUCACUUGAUGCUUUCAAGAACUUUAAUAAUAGUGUGUGUAAAGAGAAGGACAAGACAAAUGACCACUUAAAUACCUGAGGCCUCAGCAAUGUAUCUUCAGUGUGGUGGACAAAGUUCUAGACACAGAUUUGCACUACAGAGACUUGCAAGGAAAAGCCAACUUUAAUUUUAAAUUUAUGCAUAAAAAGAAGCUUUCAUUUAAAGAAUAAAAGCAAGGAGGAAGAGGAAAAACAAAUAAAACCCAAAAAACUUUCAAGUUAUAAACAGAGACUUUUGACUACCCUAUCAUCUGAGUGCACCACAGCAAUCACAAAAGUGUCCACAUCUGCUUGAAAGUACACCGGGCACAUCUCAUUGCAAAGAGUCACUUCAAGGUUUGGAGACCAAUUCAUCCCUUCUACACCCUUGUUUAGGAUCUACAAUGUGCCAUAUACAUUUUCUGUCUCACUGUGAAUUGUGCAAAAGAAGUUAAAAGAAUUAGAGUUAAUAUACAUUAAUAGCAUGCAGGCCUUGUGUAUAUCAGUGGUACAAGGAAUUCUACCAUGAGUAUUACUUUAUUGCUUUGCAUUACACCCAAGAAAAUCUUCCUGCAUAACACAUUAAAUAAGAUUCUUAAUAUAAGUGAGGAUAGUGGACUCUCUUUUCAUGUCUUUUAGAGCUAUUUUUUUAACAGUAUUUUAAAGUAAAAGGUAUCUAAAAUUGAAUAUAACACAGAAAAUAAUUGGGAAUUUCAUCAAGAAUGAAUGAUCUUAAGAGCACCUUUUUUUAAUAUCUAUUGGAUUAUAAGCAAAUCUUUCUUGAAAGUUUACCUUUUCCUGAACUCAAGAGCACAACCUUCAACUGCUGAUGAAGGAGAAGAAAUUACAAUGGGGGAAAAGUUUGAUUUGUAUUUUGAAUGAAUUAUUAUUUACCUUUCAGGUUCUUGUAACACAUGAAAAUUGAAUGGCAGACAGUAAAUUGUACAUUUCUUAACUAGUCCACUUCUUUUAAUUCCAUAAAGGGUGAUUCAUUACCAAAGAGUAAAGUAAUAUUCAGUCAUAUUGCUACAAAUUUUAUUCAGUCUUUCAACAUCACACUUCCUAUUUACUUCACUCUGUUUUGUAAGAUAAUGUCAAACCUCCUGAAACAUCUACUAGAGUGGAAGCUUCCAUCUUUGUAAACUACUGUGUCUUUAACAGCCUCUAUAAGAACUGUAGUGUGUAAUGUUGACUGACAAGAAAAUAGUUUACUUUUUUUUCAGCUGGUUAAUCUCCCAGAAUCUACUUGGCUUUUGCUUCCCCUAUUUCUGUAUUGACCACUAAAAUAUAAUUGAUCUUCUGCCUCCGAAUUCCUGCUGCUUCAUGAGCUCUGUUACAAUUCAACAUAAUCUAUUUCCAACUGAUGUUGAAAAACAUAAUAAGGUCACAGCAGGGAAGAUUUAGCUUCAUUAAAACAUUAUUAUUAUAAAAAAUAAAAUGAUCUAAAGUAAA